rnacentral:rRNA from 1 species
GACGAACGCUGGCGGCGUGCUUAACACAUGCAAGUCGAGCGAUGAAGCACCUUCGGGUGUGGAUUAGCGGCGAACGGGUGAGGAACACGUGAGGAAUCUGCCUUCCACUCUGGGAUAACUCCGGGAAACCGGGGCUAAUACCGGAUACUUUCAACUGGCGGCAUCGCCGGUUGAAGAAAGUUUUUCGGUGGAAGAUGACCUCGCGGCCUAUCAGCUUGUUGGUGAGGUAAUGGCUCACCAAGGCGACGACGGGUAGCCGGCCUGAGAGGGCGACCGGCCACACUGGGACUGAGACACGGCCCAGACUCCUACGGGAGGCAGCAGUGGGGAAUAUUGGGCAAUGGAGGAAACUCUGACCCAGCGACGCCGCGUGAGGGAUGAAGGCCUUCGGGUUGUAAACCUCUUUCAGCAGGGAAUAAGCGAAAGUGAAGGUACCUGCAGAAGAAGCACCGGCUAACUAUGUGCCAGCCGCCGCCGUAA